AUUUGAUAAUAAUCGAUUGCUAAUCAUACAUAUAAUCAAAUUAAUAUAAGUUACAAAGUGGGAAAAAAAAAGUUAUAAAAUAAUUGAAGAAUGCAAAAAAGCGAAUCAAAUCGGACAAAUCUUGAGUGGCUUUUUUUUUUAAUGAUAUUCUAACAAAAUUAUGAAUAGAUUGAUUCAUCAAAGUGGUCUUCCUCUUCUCCUUGAACCUAAUGAUUAGAUGUGGAACUAGUAUGG
rnacentral:misc_RNA from 1 species